ensembl:lncRNA
CGUCUAGCCUGGAUAGCAGCUGUGAGACGAGCUGAUAUCCAGCUCUCUUCCAUCUCCAAAUAUCUGUUGGUGCUCCAGACGGUUUCAUUCCGCAAACCAGCCUAUGAAAUGGAUGAAACACAUCGUGACUGGGUUCCAGCGCUACACAAGGGACCUGCUUCAAACAUAUCACCAUGCCAAUCAGAUUACUUCUUCCAUGUGAGGGUGAAGAGGUGACCCUUCAGGAUAAGAUGGUGAAGGUUUGCUGCGUUUGGUGAACAGUGUGGUAGUAAAACCAGGGAAAAUAAAACUUGCUCCUGUUAAAUAUUCUUAAGUCUUUUGCUGUAUAAAUAGUGGUAUUUUUCUUUUCAAAAGAUACAGUAAAUAAUGUUAGUAGUGGGUGAUAUCAUGUAAACACUGUCAUGAUUUUGUGUAAACAUUUUGUCAUUUGUAAACUAUAAAUGACAUGGAUUCUACAUUGUAACUGAUGUGAUGUUCUAUGAAGUGGUUUUAAUUAAAAAAA